rnacentral:rRNA from 1 species
UACGUAGGGUGCGAGCGUUAAUCGGAAUUACUGGGCGUAAAGAGCUCGUAGGCGGUCUGUCGCGUCUGGUGUGAAAAUCCAGGGCUUAACCCUGGACCUGCAUCGGGUACGGGCAGACUAGAGUGCGGUAGGGGAGAUCGGAAUUCCUGGUGUAGCGGUGAAAUGCGCAGAUAUCAGGAGGAACACCGGUGGCGAAGGCGGAUCUCUGGGCCGUAACUGACGCUGAGGAGCGAAAGCAUGGGGAGCGAACAGG